CCUACGGGUGGCAGCAGUGGGGAAUCUUGGACAAUGGGGGAAACCCUGAUCCAGCGAUGCCGCGUGAGUGAUGAAGGCCUUCGGGUUGUAAAGCUCUUUUGUUGGGGAAGCGGUACCCAACGAAUAAGGUCCGGCUAACUUCGUGCCAGCAGCCGCGGUAAUACGAAGGGACCUAGCGUUGUUCGGAAUGACUGGGCGUAAAGGGCGUGUAGGCGGUUUUUUAAGUCAGAUGUGAAAGCCCUGGGCUCAACCUAGGAAGUGCAUUUGAUACUGGGAGACUAGAGUAUGCGAGGGGGUAGCGGAAUUGCGAGUGUAGAAGUGAAAUUCGUAGAUAUUCGCAGGAACACCGAUGGCGAAGGCAGCUAUCUGGCAAUACUGACGCUGAGGCGCGAAAGCGUGGGGAGCAAACAGGAUUAGAUACCCUUGUAGUC
rnacentral:rRNA from 1 species